CACAAAAAAAAAAAACUCCUUACGUUCCAGGAUAAAAUUGAAUUACAAACAGAUUGCGGGACUAAAAAUGCGUUCCCAAACAAGAGACUUACUAAAAACAAACAAAAAGAAAAAUCACAAAAAUAAAAAAAAAAAAAAAAACGGAAAAUGAAACACUGUAUAAAAACAACAAGGAACUAUGGCAAACAACUAACCGCAGGACCCUAAGCCAUAUGCACACAAAACUAAUUUUUACCUGCUAAAGCAAAGAGAAACUUUCAAACUUUUUUUUUUAUUUUGUUUUGGUCCUUCGAGCCGGCAAUAUGUAUAAAUUGGUUUAUUUUUAUUUUUUGUUUUUGUUUUUUGUUGAGAUUUCUUCAUGCGCCAGUAUUUUGUUAUUCAUUGGUAUUUGCUUUUCAAAUAAAAGCCUAACAAAUA